AUGAGGUCCAAAACUGAACAGCUGCAAACUGCGUUGGAUUUGGUGGAAAGAGGUGUGGAAUGUGUGUCCAGAGGAAGGGCCAGGUCACUUUAUAGUGGUUCUGAUGUCUUUGACGAGGUGUUCAUGCAGGAAAGGGCAUACCAAGUUUUACUUACUGCAACACACACUCUGUUAUUACCUGUUACUGUUGAUACAAUAAGCAUGCUUUAUAAAAAGUCACAUUUCUUUUAAUCACAGAAGUUUUGUGACAGUAAGAGUUCCAAGAGCAACAGAGUCCCAGAGAGCAGCAGUACCUCUGACCUUGCUGCCCUUUCUAUGGAUUUACACCUGGAGUUGCUGGUCUUCCAGCACAGACUCGCUCUCAAACUGUCUGAUUCCUGGUCAGGUCAGAGACGUGCAAACUUUCAACAUAUCAGUGAAACACGCUUUCAUGCAUGUCACUGAAUCUGUCAUAUUUGUUCUGCUCAGAUGAGAUGGGUUUGAUGGAGUUUAAGAAGUCACAUGCUAAUUGUGUACAGGCUUCAGAAACAAAUAGACCUACAGAAGGUGAGUUUCAAAACAAUGUAACAUUAACAUUUUGGCAACAAAACAGGUAGUCAGUUUCACCCAUAUUUAUUCUUUAACAGAAUCUGUUGUCCUUGAAAAAAUCAAGAAGAACAAGAUCUCUAAGUGUGUUUUCAUAGCGCAGAAGGCCCUGUUGGCAUUCAGAAAGAAUCAGAUGAGCCAAGAGACCAAGAAAAUACUCGAGGUCAGUAUUUCAUGCCAACUCCUAACAAUUGGUGUCACAUCGCAUCGGGAUAACAUGUUGUAAACUCUGAUUUCAUCUUUCCAGGAGGCCAUAAUGCUAAUGGAGAAAGCUGAGCUUGAAGAGAGAAGGCUAGUUAGUUGUGCAUUUCCUUCAGAGAACAAUUUAGAAAUGGCAGAGAAGAGACAGCCACCACCAGCCCCAAUAGUCCUCUCACGCUCCAACUGCUCCAUGACCUUCAAACCUGCACCAUAUGCCCUGGAGGAGGAGGUUGUUGCAUCUUCUUUAUAAGCAUCUCUUUGAUAUCUGUUGAUUACUCUUUAUAUUUUUCCCCUGGUGUUCAAGUGUAAAUGCUAUAAAACAUCACUUCACUUUGAUUCUGACUUAGGUUUGCUGGUACUGUAUUUAUGGAAGAGAGGCAGAGGGUGUCAACCUAAAAGUACGACUUAAAGACUGCUUCUUGUGUGGGACUGGAGAUAUGGUAGG
ensembl:lncRNA